AGGGACUCCCCUCAGGAACAUCAUGUGACUUUUCAUAGCACUACACCCCCACCUACUAGGGAAUGAAGAUGAGCUGUCCCUACGGCCAAACCAUGACUACAGUAGUGGUACAUGUGGACUCCAAAGCUGAGCUCACUACCCUGCUGGAGCAGUGGGAAAAGGACCAUGGCAGUGGGCAGGAUAUGGUACCUAUACUUACCAGGAUGUCAGAAUUAAUUGAAAAAGAAACUGAAGAAUAUCGUAAAGGAGAUCCAGACCCAUUUGAUGAUCGACAUCCUGGUCGAGCCGAUCCAGAGUGUAUGCUGGGCCACUUGCUGAGAAUACUCUUCAAGAAUGACGACUUCAUGAAUGCACUGGUGAAUGCGUAUGUGAUGACAAGUAGAGAGCCCCCUUUAAAUACUGCAGCUUGCAGACUGCUGCUGGACAUCAUGCCAGGUCUAGAAACUGCGGUUGUCUUUCAAGAAAAGGAAGGAAUUGUUGAAAAUCUUUUCAAAUGGGCCCGAGAGGCUGAUCAGCCACUGAGGACAUACUCUACUGGACUGUUAGGAGGUGCUAUGGAAAAUCAAGAUAUUGCUGCCAACUAUAGAGAUGAAAAUUCACAACUGGUGGCAAUAGUGCUUCGAAGACUGAGAGAGCUACAACUUCAGGAAGUGGCUUUGCGACAGGAAAAUAAGCGUCCUAGUCCACGGAAGCUUUCAUCUGAACCGCUUUUGCCUCUAGAUGAGGAAGCUGUAGAUAUGGACUAUGGUGACAUGGCUGUAGAUGUUGUAGAUGGAGAGCAAGAAACUUCUAGAGAUAUGGAGAUCUCCUUUCGUCUUGAUUCAAGUCACAAGACCAGUAGUAGAGUGAACUCAGCAACUAAGCCUGAGGAAGGAGGAUUGAAGAAGAACAAGUCUGCAAAGCAUGGUGACAGGGAGAACUUUAGGAAGGCCAAGCAGAAGUUGGGUUUCUCAUCUUCUGACCCUGAUCGUGUUUUUGUUGAGCUGUCUAAUAGCAGUUGGUCAGAAAUGUCUCCCUGGGUGAUUGGCACCAAUUAUACCCUCUAUCCUAUGACUCCUGCUAUUGAGCAGCGACUUAUUCUUCAGUAUCUGACUCCUCUAGGAGAGUAUCAGGAGUUACUUCCUAUAUUCAUGCAACUUGGAUCACGAGAAUUGAUGAUGUUUUAUAUUGAUCUGAAACAGACUAAUGAUGUCCUUCUUACUUUUGAGGCACUCAAGCACCUAGCAUCUCUCCUGCUCCAUAACAAAUUUGCCACAGAAUUUGUUGCACAUGGUGGAGUACAGAAAUUACUGGAAAUUCCUCGUCCUUCUAUGGCUGCAACUGGUGUAUCCAUGUGCUUGUAUUACCUGUCCUACAACCAGGAUGCUAUGGAAAGAGUUUGCAUGCAUCCCCACAAUGUUCUAUCUGAUGUGGUGAAUUAUACCCUGUGGUUAAUGGAAUGUUCUCAUGCUUCAGGAUGCUGCCAUGCUACAAUGUUUUUCUCAAUUUGCUUCUCGUUUCGGGCUGUCUUGGAGCUCUUUGAUCGUUAUGAUGGUCUUCGUCGCCUGGUGAACUUGAUCAGUACUUUGGAGAUUUUAAAUUUGGAAGACCAGGGUGCACUUUUGAGUGAUGAUGAAAUAUUUGCUAGCCGCCAAACAGGCAAACAUACCUGCAUGGCCCUGCGCAAGUAUUUUGAGGCACACCUGGCCAUUAAAUUGGAACAAGUCAAGCAGUCACUGCAGAGGACUGAGGGUGGUAUUCUUGUUCACCCUCAACCUCCAUACAAGGCAUGCUCAUAUACUCAUGAGCAGAUUGUGGAAAUGAUGGAGUUUUUGAUAGAAUAUGGCCCAGCUCAGCUGUAUUGGGAACCUGCUGAAGUCUUCCUCAAGCUUUCGUGUGUGCAGCUCUUGCUACAGCUUAUUUCCAUCGCCUGCAAUUGGAAGACCUAUUAUGCAAGGAAUGACACUGUGCGCUUUGCUUUGGAUGUCUUGGCUAUUCUUACUGUGGUGCCAAAAAUUCAGCUCCAAUUGGCAGAGUCAGUGGAUGUACUGGACGAGGCUGGCUCUACUGUGUCCACUGUAGGUAUCAGCAUUAUUUUAGGAGUGGCUGAGGGUGAGUUCUUUAUCCAUGAUGCUGAAAUUCAGAAGUCAGCACUUCAGAUUAUUAUCAAUUGUGUAUGUGGCCCAGAUAACCGGAUAUCCAGUAUUGGUAAAUUUAUUUCUGGAACACCUCGGAGAAAACUGUCUCAGACCCCCAAGAGCAGUGAACAUACCCUGGCCAAGAUGUGGAAUGUGGUCCAGUCCAACAAUGGCAUCAAGGUGCUUCUGUCUCUAUUGUCCAUCAAGAUGCCCAUCACAGAUGCAGACCAGAUCCGGGCCCUGGCCUGUAAGGCCCUGGUGGGCUUGUCUCGAAGUAGCACUGUUCGACAGAUUAUCAGCAAAUUGCCCCUUUUUAGUAGCUGCCAGAUUCAACAGCUGAUGAAGGAACCAGUGCUGCAGGACAAGCGGAGUGACCAUGUCAAGUUCUGCAAAUACGCUGCUGAGCUCAUCGAGCGAGUAUCAGGAAAGCCUCUUCUCAUUGGCACUGAUGUGUCCCUGGCACGAUUACAGAAAGCAGAUGUUGUUGCCCAGUCAAGGAUCUCCUUCCCUGAGAAAGAGCUGCUCCUGUUGAUACGAAACCACCUCAUUUCUAAAGGGCUUGGAGAGACAGCGACUGUGCUCACGAGAGAGGCUGACUUGCCCAUGACUGCUGCCUCACAUUCUUCUGCCUUCACCCCAGUAACUGCUGCUGCUUCUCCUGUCUCUCUUCCCCGGACCCCUCGGAUUGCCAAUGGCAUUGCAAGUCGACUGGGCGGCCAUGCUGCUGUGGGUGCUUCCGCCCCUUCUGCCCCCCCUGCCCAUCCUCCACCACGCCCUCCCCAGGGUUCAUUGGCUUUGCCUGGACCAUCAUAUGCAGGCAACUCCCCUUUGAUUGGUAGGAUCAGUUUUAUCAGAGAGAGGCCAUCACCGUGCAAUGGCAGGAAAAUUCGAGUGUUGCGGCAGAAGUCGGACCAUGGUGCAUACAGCCAGAGCCCCGCCAUAAAAAAACAAUUGGAUAGACAUCUUCCUUCCCCACCUACACUGGACAGUAUCAUCACAGAGUAUCUUAGAGAGCAACAUGCUCGCUGCAAGAACCCCGUUGCCACCUGUCCACCCUUUUCUCUCUUUACUCCUCACCAGUGUCCUGAGCCAAAACAGAGGCGACAAGCGCCAAUAAACUUUACCUCAAGGCUAAACCGCAGGGCAUCAUUUCCAAAGUAUGGAGGGGUAGAUGGCGGAUGCUUUGAUAGGCACCUUAUCUUUAGCAGAUUUCGUCCUAUUUCGGUGUUCCGGGAAGCUAAUGAAGAUGAAAGUGGCUUUACCUGCUGUGCAUUCUCUGCUCGGGAGCGAUUUCUGAUGCUUGGUACCUGUACAGGGCAGCUGAAGCUCUACAAUGUAUUUAGUGGACAGGAAGAGGCCAGCUAUAACUGUCACAACUCAGCCAUCACACACCUUGAACCUUCCAGGGAUGGGUCCUUACUUCUGACAUCUGCAACUUGGAGCCAGCCUUUAUCUGCACUUUGGGGGAUGAAGUCAGUAUUUGAUAUGAAGCAUUCCUUCACAGAAGAUCAUUAUGUUGAGUUCAGUAAGCACUCUCAGGAUCGGGUCAUAGGCACAAAAGGAGACAUUGCCCAUAUUUAUGAUAUUCAGACUGGCAACAAGCUGUUGACUCUGUUUAACCCAGAUCUUGCCAACAACUACAAGAGGAAUUGUGCCACCUUUAAUCCUACAGAUGAUCUUGUCUUAAAUGAUGGCGUGCUCUGGGAUGUCCGCUCUGCACAGGCCAUCCACAAGUUUGACAAGUUCAACAUGAAUAUCAGUGGUGUUUUCCAUCCAAAUGGGCUGGAGGUCAUCAUCAAUACAGAGAUUUGGGACCUUCGAACUUUCCAUCUUUUACAUACUGUUCCUGCUCUGGAUCAAUGUCGUGUGGUGUUUAACCACACUGGGACAGUGAUGUAUGGAGCAAUGCUGCAGGCAGAUGAUGAAGAUGACUUAUUGGAAGAGAGGAUGAAAAGCCCCUUUGGGUCGUCCUUCCGAACAUUUAAUGCAACUGAUUAUAAGCCUAUAGCAACUAUUGAUGUGAAACGGAAUAUCUUUGACCUGUGUACGGACACCAAAGAUUGCUAUCUUGCUGUCAUUGAGAAUCAAGGCAGUAUGGAUGCCCUGAACAUGGACACAGUAUGCAGGCUUUAUGAAGUGGGCAGGCAACGAUUGGCAGAGGAUGAGGAUGAAGAGGAGGACCAGGAAGAGGAAGAGCAGGAGGAAGAGGAUGAUGAUGAAGAUGAUGACGACACCGAUGAUUUAGAUGAACUUGACACUGACCAGUUGCUGGAGGCAGAACUGGAGGAGGAUGACAACAAUGAGAAUGCAGGAGAGGAUGGAGACAACGACUUCUCUCCCUCGGAUGAGGAGUUAGCAAACCUUCUAGAGGAGGGAGAGGAGGGGGAAGAUGAAGACUCUGAUGCAGAUGAGGAAGUGGAACUGAUCCUGGGCGACAGGCUGUGUACUUAAUCCAUGAUGGGGGCAGUGAAUGAAAGCAGAGAGCCGCUACCAGUGACCGUGUCCCAACAAUCCAGAUGACACUUCCAGCUUCUGCUCAUGCUUUACAACACAGACAGCUCGGACAACUCUGAUUUGGAAGAUGACAUCAUCAUAUCUCUGAAUGAGUGAUGUGCCAUCCCCACUUGGAAGAGAAUCUUGGCAGGCGAGAGAAACUGAGUGAAUGAAUUCAGAGCACCUGCCUUUGCUGUCUCCCAGGGCUGUCCGUUAAGGAGCUGUAUGCCCUGCAUUCAGAGGACUGGUUUAGACUCUCCCUGACUCUGAGGGCCCUUCUAAAAACAAUAACAACCACAAAAAAAGACUACAGGGACUAGGCCCUAGUUUGCGUCCCCUCCUCCUAGGACGGACAUAGCUUUCCUCAAGGGAAAAACAAACAUGUCUCUGGGUAUUUCACAAUAUAUUUUCUUUGUAUAAUGUUCUUUACUUAAAGAACAAGAAAUAGUUUUUUAUAAAACUUUAAAAAGAAAAAAAAAGCAACAGGCAUUUAUAACUGAGGGUCUGAACUUAUAUCCACCAGUCUCCUAUCCUGCACUUCAUUUUCUUUGGAAGAAAAUGAUGUCUAAAGAACAAUAUAGAGGCAUUUUUACAUACGUAUUUAAAUGAAGAGGAAAAUCGUGGUUUCUUAAAUUGAUAAGGAUUAAGAAUAUUUUAUUAUAAAUAUAAUAUAUGAUUUUUUUUAACCUGUUUUGUUGCCUCAUACGCUGUCAAGUUCAUUUGUUUUCCUUUGUGCCAGAGCGGGAAUGGAAGACAUGUCCUGCUACUACUGGGAAAACGCCUAACUCCUACCUUGGUAGCCAGGCAGUUGUGUAGACCUUGUUUUUGUGGAGUUGAGAGAACUUUAAGGGUAUAAAUUCACUCCCUCUCUCUCUUUGUGAUUCAGUUUUUCGAAAGUCUUUUUUCCUUCCCUUUCUCCCCAAUGUGGAAAUUACAAAUCAAAGGUCUUUUUCUUUAAUGUAAAGUGUAUUUAUUUAAAAAAAAUACAAAAUAAACUACAAGUCUGUCUUUGUU